CCAGGCGGCCGGGCGAUCGCGGCGGUUCUUCGUGAACCGGCGAGGAAAGUCCGGGCUCCACGAAACGACGGUGCCGGAUAACGUCCGGCGGCCCCGGCAACGGGGUCAGGGACAGUGCAACAGAGAGCAGGUCACGUUUGUCUUCGGACUUUGGGCUUUGGCCGCGUGAACAGUGAAAGGGUGCGGUAAGAGCGCACCGCGCCCCCGGCAACGGUGGGCGGCGAGGUAAACCCCACCGGGAGCAAGACCGAAUAGGGGCGGCGCGCGGGACUUGUCCCGCUAGGCAUGUUUCGGCCGAGACCGCCCGGGUUGGUUGCUUGAGGCCAUGCGAGAGCAUGGUCCUAGAGGAAUGGUCGCCCAUCCGCCCGCGCGUCCCCUUUGGGGAUACGGCGGCGGUGGACAGAACCCGGCUUACAGGCCGCCUGGCGCA
rnacentral:RNase_P_RNA from 1 species